UACGAGGGGUGCAAGCGUUGCUCGGAAUUAUUGGGUGUAAAGGGUAGGUAGGUGGUCUCGUUUGUCUGGGGUGAAAGCCUUGAGCUUAACUCAAGAAGUGCCUUAGAAACGGCGAGACUAGAGUCUUGGAGAGGGUCGUGGAAUUCCCGGUGUAGCGGUGAAAUGCGUAGAGAUCGGGAGGAACACCAGCGGCGAAGGCGGCGACCUGGACAAGUACUGACACUCAACUACGAAAGCGUGGGGAGCAAACAGG
rnacentral:rRNA from 1 species